rnacentral:misc_RNA from 1 species
GAAGAAUUGGGUUUGGAGAUGGCAAUUCGUUCCUUAGAGCAUCUUUUGCAGUAUGGGGAGCAAAAUAUUCGUCGUGCUGUUCCCUUGGCUCUUGGUCUCCUUUGCAUCUCAAACCCCAAGGUUAAUGUUAUGGACACGUUAAGCAGACUGAGCCAUGAUACAGAUUCCGAAGUAGCGAUGGCAGCAGUAAUCUCCUUAGGUUUGAUUGGUGCUGGAACCAAUAACGCAAGAAUAGCUGGCAUGCUUCGAAAUCUUUCGAGUUAUUACUACAAAGAUGCGAGCCUUCUUUUCUGUGUCAGGAUCGCCCAAGGGCUUGUACAUUUGGGGAAGGGCCUGUUAACUCUUAAUCCUUAUCAUUCUGACCGAUUCUUAUUAGCACCGACGGCGCUUGCAGGAUUAAUAAUUACGUUGCAUGCAUGUCUUGACAUGAAAGCCAUUAUCCUGGGGAAAUAUCAUUAUGUGCUCUACUACCUUGUCUUGGCAAUGCAGCCGAGAAUGCUGUUGACCGUGGAUGAGAAUCUUAAGCCUCUUUCAGUACCUGUUCGGGUGGGUCAGGCUGUUGAUGUCGUCGGACAGGCGGGUCGGCCAAAGACAAUCACUGGUUUUCAAACUCACUCAACCCCAGUUCUUCUUGCUGCUGGUGACAGGGCAGAACUGGCCACUGAAAAGUACAUUCCUCUUUCGCCAAUCCUAGAAGGAUUUGUUGUUUUACAGGAGAACCCGGAAUACAGAGAAGAACAGUAGGAAGCCAU